rnacentral:rRNA from 1 species
AACCGCGGUUAUACGAGAGGCCCAAAUUGAUGCACCACGGCGUAAAGUGUGAUUAGAGACAAAACCCGACUAGAACUAAAUACCCCCUAUGCUGUCAUACGCCAUGGGGGUCACGAAACCCAACAACGAAAGUGGUUCUAUGAGCCUUGAACUCACGACAGCCAGGACA